CAGGGUUGGAUGGACGCCAUUUUGGGAGCGCCUGGUUAUCUGAGGUCGAGAGGGGUUGUCUGACCCCUGACUCAGAAAUGUAAUAGGGCCCCAAUCUUUCAAGGUCGGACGACCUCAAUUAAUGGCACCUGCUGUUUGGCCUUCACCACCCAACACUUACAUGGUAAUGAGGACUUUUCAGUGCUUCUUCGUGAACCAUGUGCAGUUUGGAAGAUUUGGAGCUGCAUAACGGGCAUACUUCGUUUUAUUUUGCUUCGCAGAUAUUGUUGGUUUUUUGGUUUUGUUUUCGUGUGUUUUUUUUUUUUUUAACAAAUUGAAGGUUUGCGGCAACGCUACGUAGAACAAUACUGUUGGCGCCAUUUGUGACUACUUUGUUACAUUUCGGUAAUUCUCACGAUGUUUCAAGCUUUUUCAUUAUUUUAAUAUGUUAUGAUGACUUUUUGAUACUCAUUGUAAUUGUUUUGGGGGGUAUUAUGAAACAUGCCUAUAUAAAACAGCCAAACUUAAUGUUGUGUCUUCUGCUGUUCCACCCAUGGUGCUGUUCCCAUUUUGCUCCCUCUUGGGCUUCCCCGCUUCCUGAGAUACAACACUGUUGAAAUUAAGGCAGUUAAUAACCCCACAAUCCUUCCUCCAAGUGAAAGGAAGACAAAAGCUAGGCUUAGUGAGGAAGGCAUGUCCAAAGCUGAGAUUGGCCAAACGUUUGACCUCUGGAGAAGAACAGCUACGUUGUGAAUGCAAAGGACACAUUUUUGAGGGAAAUUAAAAA
rnacentral:lncRNA from 1 species